UACGGAGGGUGCAAGCGUUAUCCGGAUUCACUGGGUUUAAAGGGUGCGUAGGCGGGUUGGUAAGUCAGUGGUGAAAUCUUCAAGCUUAACUUGGAAACUGCCGUUGAUACUAUCAAUCUUGAAUGUUGUGGAGGUAAGCGGAAUAUGUCAUGUAGCGGUGAAAUGCUUAGAUAUGACAUAGAACACCGAUAGCGAAGGCAGCUUGCUACACAAAAAUUGACGCUUGAGGCAACG
rnacentral:rRNA from 1 species